CACUCCUGGCCUUCCUCACUCAUUAACCCGAUCCCUAGAUAAGCGGGAUGGAUUAUCUGAUUGGCACAUUCAGGUAAUUUGGCGAGGUAGGCUUUGCCCUUGUUCCUUCAGGGAGCCCCGCGGGGGGCGCCAGUCCCUGGCCCCUCCCACGGCUCUGCACCUGCCCCUUCCAGCGUUGCAUGGCUGCGGGACCCCUUUGCUUUUGGGGUUCAGAAGCCCAGCUGAUGGUCCAUACACAAGCAACCUGGCCUCUCUCCAGACACUGACGUCUGAUGUGUUUUACACGGACAGCGCGUCUCCAGUGGCCACCGCCUGCCGUGUGGGACGGUGCGCGUACAGGCGGACGAAUGGGGACUUAGACAUGACCGUGCCCGUUUGCCUGACAUCGCGCAGCCGCGGCCCUCCGGGCCGGCGUGACACGGAGUGUACUGAUCGCGAUUGUACUUUAUUUUUAGGCUCCUUCCGAAACAGUCCUUAUCUCAAGGAGGUAUUUUCGUUUUCCAGUUUCCUAAAUGUGUUUCUAGAUACCCUGGACAGGGGAGAGUGGGAGAGACAGGACCGGAAGUAAUUGAGAUUUCUCAGCCAGCGGCCCCGUGCUGGCGGUUGGUAUGUGCUGGUCCACUUAUCUCAAGGGCCAAAUGCCCUUCAGGAUCGAGAGGAAGCAUAAAGAAUUGUCUUUC